UACGAGGGGGGCGAGCGUUGUUCGGAAUUAUUGGGCGUAAAGGGUGCGUAGGCGGUUUGGUAAGUCUUGUGUGAAAUCUUCGGGCUCAACUCGAAGUCUGCAUGAGAAACUGCCGGGCUUGAGUGUGGGAGAGGUGAGUGGAAUUCCCGGUGUAGCGGUGAAAUGCGUAGAUAUCAGGAGGAACACCUGUGGCGAAAGCGGCGCACUGGACCACAACUGACGCUGAGGCGCGAAAGCUAGGGGAGCAAACAGG
rnacentral:rRNA from 1 species